GAUGAAGAACGUAGCGAAAUGCGAUAAGUAAUGUGAAUUGCAGAAUUCAGUGAAUCAUCGAAUCUUUGAACGCACAUUGCGCCCGCCAGUAUUCUGGCGGGCAUGCCUGUUCGAGCGUCAUUACAACCCUCAGGCCCCCGGGCCUGGCGUUGGGGAUCGGCGGAGCCCCCCGUGGGCACACGCCGUCCCCCAAAUGCAGUGGCGGUCCCGCCGCAGCUUCCAUCGCGUAGUAGCUAACACCUCGCGACUGGAGAGCGGCGCGGCCACGCCGUAAAACACCCAACUCUUCUGAAGUUGACCUCGAAUCAGGUAGGAAUACCCGCUGAACUUAAGCAUAUCAAAAAGCGGAGGA
rnacentral:misc_RNA from 1 species